rnacentral:rRNA from 1 species
GACGAACGCUGGCGGCGUGCCUAACACAUGCAAGUCGAGCGAGGUCCAUCCGGUGGCAACACCGGUGAAGACCUAGCGGCGAACGGGUGAGUAACACGUGAGGAACCUGCCCCGAAGUCUGGGAUAACCCGAGGAAACUCGAGCUAAUACCGGAUGCCCUCCACUGAUCGCAUGGUCGGUGGCGGAAAGAUUUAUCGCUUCGGGAGGGCCUCGCGGCCUAUCAGCUAGUUGGCGGGGUAACGGCCCACCAAGGCAUCGACGGGUAGCUGGUCUGAGAGGACGAUCAGCCACACUGGGACUGAGACACGGCCCAGACUCCUACGGGAGGCAGCAGUGGGGAAUCUUGCGCAAUGGGCGAAAGCCUGACGCAGCAACGCCGCGUGCGGGAUGAAGGCCUUCGGGUUGUAAACCGCUUUCAGCAGGGACGAAAUUGACGGUACCUGCAGAAGAAGCCCCGGCCAACUACGUGCCAGCAGCCGCAGUAAAAC